UACGAGGGGUCCAAGCGUUGUUCGGAAUUACUGGGCGUAAAGCGGGUGUAGGCGGCUAGGUCAGUCGGAUGUGAAAGCCCAGGGCUCAACCCUGGAAGUGCAUCCGAUACUACCUGGCUUGAGUACCGGAGAGGUAAGGGGAAUUCCACGUGUAGCGGUGAAAUGCGUAGAUAUGUGGAGGAACACCAGUGGCGAAGGCGACUCUCUGGUCUGUAACUGACGCUGAGGCGCGAAAGCGUGGGGAGCAAACAGG
rnacentral:misc_RNA from 1 species